rnacentral:rRNA from 1 species
UUUAAUGAGAGUUUGAUCCUGGCUCAGGACGAACGCUGGCGGCGUGCCUAAUACAUGCAAGUAGAACGCUGAAGAGAGGAGCUUGCUCUUCUUGGAUGAGUUGCGAACGGGUGAGUAACGCGUAGGUAACCUGCCUGGUAGCGGGGGAUAACUAUUGGAAACGAUAGCUAAUACCGCAUAACAACAGUUGUUGCAUGACAGCUGUUUAAAAGAUGCAAUUGCAUCACUACCAGAUGGACCUGCGUUGUAUUAGCUAGUUGGUGAGGUAACGGCUCACCAAGGCGACGAUACAUAGCCGACCUGAGAGGGUGAUCGGCCACACUGGGACUGAGACACGGCCCAGACGCCUACGGGAG